CGACGGCAGCACGGGUGCUUGCACCUGGUGGCGAGUGGCGAACGGGUGAGUAAUGCGUCGGAACGUACCGAGUAAUGGGGGAUAACGCAGCGAAAGUUGUGCUAAUACCGCAUACGCCCUGAGGGGGAAAGUGGGGGACCGCAAGGCCUCACGUUAUUCGAGCGGCCGACGUCUGAUUAGCUAGUUGGUGGGGUAAAGGCCUACCAAGGCGACGAUCAGUAGCGGGUCUGAGAGGAUGAUCCGCCACACUGGGACUGAGACACGGCCCAGACUCCUACGGGAGGCAGCAGUGGGGAAUUUUGGACAAUGGGGGCAACCCUGAUCCAGCCAUUCCGCGUGAGUGAAGAAGGCCUUCGGGUUGUAAAGCUCUUUCAGCUGGAACGAAACGGUACGCGCUAACAUCGUGUGCUAAUGACGGUACCGGCAGAAGAAGCACCGGCUAACUACGUGCCAGCAGCCGCGGUAAUACGUAGGGUGCGAGCGUUAAUCGGAAUUACUGGGCGUAAAGCGUGCGCAGGCGGAUUGUUAAGCAAGACGUGAAAUCCCCGGGCUUAACCUGGGAAUGGCGUUUUGAACUGGCAGUCUAGAGUGCGUCAGAGGGGGGUGGAAUUCCACGUGUAGCAGUGAAAUGCGUAGAGAUGUGGAGGAACACCGAUGGCGAAGGCAGCCCCCUGGGAUGACACUGACGCUCAUGUACGAAAGCGUGGGUAGCAAACAGGA
rnacentral:rRNA from 1 species